GCCGCGGUAGUAUAGCCCGGUCAAGGACAACGCCGAGAGUAUGCGGGCCUCUCAAGCCCGUGGCCCGGGUUCAAAUCCCGGCCGCGGCA
rnacentral:tRNA from 1 species